rnacentral:rRNA from 1 species
AGGACGAACGCUGGCGGCGUGCUUAACACAUGCAAGUCGAGCGGUAAGGCUCCUUCGGGAGUACACGAGCGGCGAACGGGUGAGUAACACGUGAGCAAUCUGCCCUUCACUUUGGGAUAACUUCCGGAAACGGAAGCUAAUACCGAAUACGACCAUUACAGACAUCUGUUGAUGGUGGAAAGUUCCGGCGGUGAAGGAUGAGCUCGCGGCCUAUCAGCUUGUUGGUGGGGUAACGGCCCACCAAGGCGACGACGGGUAGCCGGCCUGAGAGGGUGACCGGCCACACUGGGACUGAGACACGGCCCAGACUCCUACGGGAGGCAGCAGUGGGGGAAUAUUGGACAAUGGGCGAAAGCCUGAUCCAGCAACGCCGCGUGAGGGAUGACGGCCUUCGGGUUGUAACCUCUUUCAGCAGGGACGAAGCGAAAGUGACGGUACCUGCAGAAGAAGCACCGGCCAACUACGCGCCAGCAGCCGCGGUAA